rnacentral:SRP_RNA from 1 species
GCCAGGCAUGGUGGCACAUGUCUGUAAUCCCAGCUACUCUGGAGGCUGAGGCAGGAGAAUCGCUUGAACCUGGGAGGCGGAGGUUGCAGUGAGCCGAGAUCAUAAUACUGCACUCCAGCCUGGGUGACAGAGCGAGACUCCAUCUUAAAAAAAAAAAAAAAAGAAAUGGAGUCUUGCUCUGUCACCCAGGCUGGAGUGCAGUGGUGUAAUCUCGGCUCACUGCAGUCUCUGCCUCCUGGGUUCGAGUGAUUCUCCUGCCUCAG